rnacentral:lncRNA from 1 species
AAUAAAUAUGGGGCUGACCUUAAAGUCAUACGUUUAGGACAGAAAAGGUAUAACAAGAUUGAAGACAAAGAACGUGAAUUCAACAAGAGUUUCCAUCUCAUCCUUCACACUGAUCUGGCUAACACCCACUACAAGCUAGAACUGCAGGCUCACACCACCUCCAUUAAUUUCACUGUCACCAGAGAUGGGCUGGAAGACCAGCUGUUGGCUGAGGUUGCUAGUGCUGAAAGGCCAGACUUAGAAGAAAAAUAAGUCAGUCCUGACCAAAGAUCAGAACUAUUUCAAGACUGAGCUCAAGCAGCUUGGGGACAACAUGCUGCUCAGUCUGUUGGCUGCCCCAUGUAGUUCCUUAGGUGACAGUGAACUUGUGGAGAAACUUCAAUCAAUGAAGUCAACUGCAGCUGAAAUACAGUGCAAGGUCUUCAAUGCAGUCUUCCACAAAGCAAUCCAACAGGCUGAAGAAUCAGGAGAUACUCAGUGACAUAUCUCUAACACAACAGAAGCUGUCACCUACUCAACCUUUCUUUUCACAAGCCAAGGACUUUUUGAAAAGGAUAAGCUCAUUUUCCUGGCCCAGAUAGCUUUUCAAGUGAGGAAAAAUUUUCAUGUUGCUGAUGCUGGUGGUUUACUGUUUUUGCUGCUUCUUAACUAGAAGGUGAUGCCUUUACCCAAAUGAAUAUCUUCUUACCUUGUGGUAGUG